rnacentral:rRNA from 1 species
UACGUAGGGGGCAAGCGUUGUCCGGAAUCAUUGGGCGUAAAGCGCGUGUAGGCGGCUUGGUAAGUCCGCUCUGAAAGCCCGGGGCUCAACCCCGGGAGGCGGGUGGAUACUGUCAAGCUCGAGUCCGGAAGAGGCGAGUGGAAUUCCUGGUGUAGCGGUGAAAUGCGCAGAUAUCAGGAGGAACACCAGUGGCGAAGGCGGGUCUCUGGGCCGAUACUGACGCUGAGGAGCGAAAGCGUGGGGAGCGAACAGG